CAAAAAGAAAGAAAUUAUUCAAAUUAAAGAUUUGAGUAAUUUGGGAUCUGAAUUGUGUAGUCUAAAAAAGCUGUACCUCUGUAUAACUUCUGUUGAACUCUGUUAUUCUGGCAUUUCACUGAAACAUUUUGUAACAUUGGAAAAAAAAUCUGAAUUAAAGCAAACUAAAAACUUCAGUCAUUACAUAAGAAAAGGAAGCAUUAUAUUACCUUAAAUAGCUUUUAACUUUCAUUUUAAAAGAAGUCUUUUUACUAGGACUAGAGAAAUAAGUUUUUUGUGGGGGGUUGCCAAGUUUAGGAAUUCUUUGCCAAAUGCCAGCUUUUCCAAGACUAAAUAGCAUGUUAAUCUACUUAUAAAAUCUUGAUCUUCAUGCUGAAGGGAGUUUAACUUUUGAUCUUCAUGCAUAAGUGACCUCUACAUGAGAUUUUGUCUUAAAUUUGUGGUACAGGGUACAGGUCUAUGUAAAUCCUGAAAUAAACUAGAUUUUUUUCCACUUAUAUUAAAAAAUGACAAGAAAAUAUCAGUUAAGCUUACUGUUGACAAACUUGACCACAACUCUAAAUAAAGAAACUGACCAAAA
rnacentral:lncRNA from 1 species